AAAAUCGCCCCAAACUCCACUCAAUGUAUCCGCCCCAAGCAAUGAAGGGAGAAAACUCGCUCUGCUUCGGACGAGUGUACAGGGUGGUCGGGAUUUUGUCCGAGAAUGCGUAUAAAUUCGGGGCUGGCUUGUAAAGGGUACGUUAUUCAGCAGAAAAUACCAUCGACAGAGCUUUCCUCAAGUUUUCCACCAUGAGUGGAGAAGAAGAUAGAAAAUUGCACAGAUUGUUUGCAUCCUUCACCAACACAUCCUUUCUAUCCACAAGCAUGGCGGAAAUUUAUAAUCAUGCGGAGUGAAAAAUAUGAAAUACUCAGUUUUUCUUUGGAAUUUAUGAUAUUUCGUGAAAAUUACCAUCAAGGGAGUGUUUUGUAUAUUACAGUUUCAAGCCGCUCGGUAAAGCCUGCUAUCAUAAAUUUUGAGUAGUAAUAAUGAGAACCAUAAAAGUGAAAUGUUGUGUUUUGUAGUUUAAGGAAAAGAUGGUUUAUUAUAUUGUGAUUGCAGUUCUUCCCGGGUCCAUUGUUGCUAACUUUUGGAAUAGAGUGAAAUGAUCAAACCUUAAUUAACAUUUUGACCACUUACCAAUUCAAAAAAAGUUCGCGAAGCAUAUUACCAUCAAAACACAAGUGGAAAUAAAUACACAAAGUACUAUAUUACAAAAAGGUGAAAAUAUUUUGUGAAUGGAAAAUCUACUGAAAAAUUCUUUAAUGUGAAAAGCAAGGUGCAAAUAUCAGUGCUCUGUGAAAAACAGGAAGAAUAGCAAUAACGAAACAAAUCCAACUUUCAAAACAUAAUAAUUUUUAUAACGUUUUUAUUUUUGGAAAACUUUAUCUCAGAUAUAAAUCGGUGAUUUCAGUUCCAAAAACGACUGUUCGUGAAUGAAAAAAAUACAUUUUUGGCCAAGUCAGCUCCCUCAAAAUAAGUUUUAAAGCAUCUCAGGAAACUAUAUGCUCAUCGACUACGAAAUAAAAAGAUAUCUGGACAGAAAAUAAGUUAAAUUUAACUACUAGCAAUAACUGGGGGAAAUUCGAUCAUCAUUCAGUGAAAUGGCAUUGGCGACCUAUAACCUUCGAAGGCCAUAAGCGGUAGAAACGAAGUCCUGGAUCUACUUGAGAAAAAAUAAAAGGAGGGAAGGAAAAAUGGAGAACCAUCGGAAUAAACACUUACACAUUAAUGGAAAACAGCAAAAAAUAAUAUCGCGUUUAAGGUGACAUUCAGAGCAACAAUUCUACUGGUGUAUUGACUAUUUUGUUGCAACAAAUGAAUCAUCGAUUAUGUCAUAUAAACGUCACCGUUUCUCAAAGAAAAAUAAAUACAAAAAAAAGAUAAAAUGUCGAUAACUA